rnacentral:rRNA from 1 species
UACGGAGGGUGCAAGCGUUAUCCGGAUUCACUGGGUUUAAAGGGUGCGUAGGUGGGUUGGUAAGUCAGUGGUGAAAUCUCCGUGCUUAACAUGGAAACUGCCAUUGAUACUACUGAUCUUGAAUUUUCUGGAGGUAAGCGGAAUAUGUCAUGUAGCGGUGAAAUGCUUAGAUAUCAGGAGGAACACCGAUGGCGAAGGCAGCUCACUGGGACGGUACUGACGCUGAGGCGCGAAAGCGUGGGGAGCAAACAGG